GAUGAACGCUGGCGGCGUGCCUAAUACAUGCAAGUCGAGCGAACGGACGAGAAUCUUGCUUCUCUGAUGUUAGCGGCGGACGGGUGAUUAACACGUGGAUAACCUACCUAUAAGACUGGGAUAACUUCGGGAAACCGGAGCUAAUACCGGAUAAUAUUUUGAACCGCAUGGUUCAAAAGUGAAAGACGUUCUUGCUGUCACUUAUAGAUGUAUCCUCGCUGCAUUAGCUAGUUGGUAAGGUAACGGCUUACCAAGGCAACGAUGCAUAGCCGACCUGAGAGGGUGAUCGGCCACACUGGAACUGAGACACGGUCCAGACUCCUACGGGAGGCAGCAGUAGGGAAUCUUCAGCAAUGGGCGAAAGCCUGACGGAGCAACGCCGCGUGAGUGAUGAAGGUCUUCGGAUCGUAAAACGCUGUUAUUAGGGAAGAACAUAUGUGGAAGUAACCGUGCACAGCUUGACGGUACCUAAUCAGAAAGCAACGGCUAACUACGUG
rnacentral:rRNA from 1 species